rnacentral:rRNA from 2 species
GUCUAAGUAUAAGCAAUCAUACUGUGAAACUGCGAAUGGCUCAUUAAAUCAGUUAUCGUUUAUUUGAUAGUACCUUUACCUGGAUAACCGUGGUAAUUCUAGAGCUAAUACAUGCUAAAAACCCCGACUUCGGGAGGGGUGUAUUUAUUAGAUAAAAAACCAAUGCCCUCUGGGCUCCUUGGUGAUUCAUAAUAACUUAACGAAUCGCAUGGCCUUGCGCCGGCGAUGGUUCAUUCAAAUUUCUGCCCUAUCAACUUUCGAUUGUAAGAUAGAGGCUUACAAUGGUCUUAACGGGUAACGGGGAAUUAGGGUUCUAUUCCGGAGAGGGAGCCUGAGAAACGGCUACCACAUCCAAGGAAGGCAGCAGGCGCGCAAAUUACCCAAUGCUAAUUCAGCGAGGUAGUGACAAUAAAUACUGAUACGGGGCUCUUUCGGGUCUCGUAAUUGGAAUGAGUACAAUCUAAAUCCCUUAACGAGGAACAAUUGGAGGGCAGC